rnacentral:rRNA from 1 species
AUUAGACGAAUCAUCUGGAAAGAUGAAUCAAAGAAGGUAAUAAUCCUGUAGUCGAAAAUGUUGUCUCUCUUGAGUGGAUCCUGAGUACGACGGAGCACGUGAAAUUCCGUCGGAAUCUGGGAGGACCAUCUCCUAAGGCUAAAUACUCUCUAGUGACCGAUAGUGAACCAGUACCGUGAGGGAAAGGUGAAAAGCACCCCGGAAGGGGAGUGAAAUAGAACCUGAAACCGUGUGCUUACAAGUAGUCAGAGCCCGUUAAUGGGUGAUGGCGUGCCUUUUGUAGAAUGAACCGGCGAGUUACGAUUUGAUGCAAGGUUAAGCAGUAAAUGUGGAGCCGUAGCGAAAGCGAGUCUGAAUAGGGCGUUUAGUAUUUGGUCGUAGACCCGAAACCAGGUGAUCUACCCUUGGUCAGGUUGAAGUUCAGGUAACACUGAAUGGAGGACCGAACCGACUUACGUUGAAAAGUGAGCGGAUGAACUGAGGGUAGCGGAGAAAUUCCAAUCGAACCUGGAGAUAGCUGGUUCUCUCCGAAAUAGCUUUAGGGCUAGCCUCAAGUGAUGAUUAUUGGAGGUAGAGCACUGUUUGGACGAGGGGCCCCUCUCGGGUUACCGAAUUCAGACAAACUCCGAAUGCCAAUUAAUUUAACUUGGGAGUCAGAACAUGGGUGAUAAGGUCCGUGUUCGAAAGGGAAACAGCCCAGACCACCAGCUAAGGUCCCAAAAUAUAUGUUAAGUGGAAAAGGAUGUGGCGUUGCCCAGACAACUAGGAUGUUGGCUUAGAAGCAGCCAUCAUUUAAAGAGUGCGUAAUAGCUCACUAGUCGAGUGACACUGCGCCGAAAAUGUACCGGGGCUAAACAUAUUACCGAAGCUGUGGAUUGUCCUUUGGACAAUGGUAGGAGAGCGUUCUAAGGGCGUUGAAGCAUGAUCGUAAGGACAUGUGGAGCGCUUAGAAGUGAGA